UUAAGCUUGUUGGUGAGGUAAUGGCUCACCAAGGCGUCGACGGGUAGCCGGCCUGAGAGGGUGACCGGCCACACUGGGACUGAGACACGGCCCAGACUCCUACGGGAGGCAGCAGUGGGGAAUAUUGCACAAUGGGCGCAAGCCUGAUGCAGCAACGCCGCGUGAGGGAUGACGGCCUUCGGGUUGUAAACCUCUUUUAGCAGGGAAGAAGCGAAAGUGACGGUACCUGCAGAAAAAGCACCGGCUAACUACGUGCCAGCAGCCGCGGUAAUACGUAGGGUGCAAGCGUUAUCCGGAAUUAUUGGGCGUAAAGAGCUCGUAGGCGGUUUGUCGCGUCUGCUGUGAAAUCUGGGGGCUCAACCCCCAGCCUGCAGUGGGUACGGGCAGACUAGAGUGCGGUAGGGGAGAUUGGAAUUCCUGGUGUAGCGGUGGAAUGCGCAGAUAUCAGGAGGAACACCGAUGGCGAAGGCAGAUCUCUGGGCCGUAACUGACGCUGAGGAGCGAAAGGGUGGGGAGCAAACAGGCUUAGAUACCCUGGUAGUCCACCCCGUAAACGUUGGGAACCAGUUGUGGGGUCCAUUCCACGGAU
rnacentral:rRNA from 1 species